AGUAAGAUCCCUGAAAGAUGAUCAGGUUGAUAGGUCUGAGGUGGAAGUGUGGCGACACAUGGAGCUGACAGAUACUAAUCGAUCGAGGACUUAACCAAAUU
rnacentral:rRNA from 1 species